rnacentral:rRNA from 1 species
UACGUAGGCAGCAAGCGUUGUUCGGAAUUACUGGGCGUAAAGAGUGUGUAGGCGGUGUUCUAAGUCUGUUGUGAAAUCUCCCGGCUUAACUGGGAGGGUGCGGCGGAAACUGGAAUGCUAGAGGAUGGGAGAGGUAAGCGGAAUUCCUGGUGUAGCGGUGAAAUGCGUAGAUAUCAGGAGGAACACCUGUGGUGUAGACAGCUUUCUGGACCAUUGCUGACGCUGAGACACGAAAGCGUGGGUAGCAAACAGG